UACAGAGGGUACAAGCGUUGUUCGGAAUUAUUGGGCGUAAAGCGUGCGUAGGUGGUUCGUUAAGUCUGAUGUGAAAGCCCUGGGCUCAACCUGGGAAUGGCAUUGGAUACUGGCGAUCUAGAGUGCGGUAGAGGGCAGUGGAAUUCCCGGUGUAGCAGUGAAAUGCGUAGAGAUCGGGAGGAACAUCUGUGGCGAAGGCGACUGCCUGGACCAGCACUGACACUGAGGCACGAAAGCGUGGGGAGCAAACAGG
rnacentral:rRNA from 1 species